UUCGGCAAUGGGCGACGGCACGAGCGCCGGCUCCGGUUCGGCGAUGGGCGGCGUAGCAAACGCCGGUGCCGGGUC
rnacentral:tRNA from 1 species